rnacentral:rRNA from 1 species
UACAGAGGUCCCAAGCGUUGUUCGGAUUCAUUGGGCGUAAAGGGUGCGUAGGCGGGUCUUUAAGUCAGGGGUGAAAUCCUGGAGCUCAACUCCAGAACUGCCUUUGAUACUGAAGAUCUUGAGUUCGAGAGAGGUGAGUGGAACUGCGAGUGUAGAGGUGAAAUUCGUAGAUAUUCGCAAGAACACCAGUGGCGAAGGCGGCUCACUGGCCCGAUACUGACGCUGAGGCACGAAAGCGUGGGGAGCAAACAGG